CCGGCAGCGGCCGCCGGUCGGAGUCCUGCGCGUUGGCCAGCAUGUUCAACACAACCGGGGCGCCACACAUGUGAGUUACACUAUGUGUGGCGAUGACCGAGUAGAUGGUGGCGGCGUCGAAGCGACGGAGGCAGAUGUUGGUGCCGCCGAAGGCGGCCACCCCCCACGGGAAGCUCCAGCCGUUGGCGUGGAACAUCGGGAGCGUCCAGAGGUAAAUCGGGUUCUUCGGGACCGACCAGUCAAUCAGCGAGUCGAGGGUGAUGAGGUAGAUCCCGCGGUGGAAGUGCACCACUCCCUUUGGGGCGGAGGUGG
rnacentral:misc_RNA from 1 species